rnacentral:rRNA from 1 species
CCUACGGGAGACAGCAGUGGGGAAUAUUGCACAAUGGGGGAAACCCUGAUGCAGCGACGCCGCGUGAGUGAUGAAGUAUUUCGGUAUGUAAAGCUCUAUCAGCAGGGAAGAAAAUGACGGUACCUGACUAAGAAGCCCUGGCCAACUACGAGCCAGCAGCCGCGGUAAAACGUAGGGGGCAAGCGUUAUCCGGAAUUACUGGGUGUAAAGGGAGCGUAGACGGGGCGGUAAGUCUGAAGUGAAAGGCAGGGGCUUAACCCCUGAACUGCUUUGGAAACUGCCCUGCUAGAGUGCUGGAGAGGUAAGUGGAAUUCCUAGUGUAGCGGUGAAAUGCGUAGAUAUUGGGAGGAACACCAGUGGCGAAGGCGGCUUACUGGACAGUAACUGACGUUGAGGCUCGAAAGCGUGGGGAGCAAACAGGAUUAGAUACCCCAGUAGUC